CGGUCCGGGCCUCCUGUCCUUCCAGGGUCGCGCCGCCUCCUUUCCAUGUGGGGGAGUUUGGGAGGGGCUGCCCUGGCCCUGCCUCAGGGUUGCCUGGGCAUGCCUUGGGAUCUGGAUCCGGCCAGCCCCAGACUUGGACGUGAGGAGCGGCUUCGUGACAUGUGUCUGUGGCUUGAGAUCUGCACCCGCCUGCCGGGAAGGAGGCUCUGCGGCAGGUGGACCGUGGGUGGCUGGAAGGACCCCGGGGCGAGGGAUGCCCUUCUCCCUUCUGGGCCGCAGGACAAGGGUCGUCAUCCACAGCAGGGGACAGGGCAUGCCGGUGUGGCCUGCCCCCCGAUAGGGCUCCGACCGUGUCUGUUCAGGAAGGAACCCCCCCUUUCACAGUUAAGGCAGCUGAGGCUUGUGGAUGGUGCCCCCCGUGCUAGGGCUGAGUGGACCUCGGUCCUGAAGAACAUUUCGUCUCCAGACGGAGGAUACCAGUGUGCAGGCUCACCAAGAAAGUCACGGUCACCGGCCACCCCCAUGGAAGGACUGUAGGAAGAACUAGAAAGGACAAGACUUGGGGUCAGACCUUGGUCUGAGUCUCAGCUCUGCCCUCCCCAGUCCGUGGGCUGGUCCUCUGUCCACACCACCAUUUCCUUCUCUGUAAAAUGGAGAGAGUGUGGAUGUCCCCUUCACUGAAGCUGGGGUGGCACGUUUCCCGGCCAGACACAGCAGACGUCUGCCCCCCCACCCCACCCGAGCUGUCCCUCGGACACCCUCCCCGUCCGCCUCCUGGGCAGCAGCCGGUCCAUGGACCAAGAACAGCAGCGUCCUGCCUCCAGAGGGGACACUGCCCUGGCCACAAGCCCCAGCCAGGACAGCAGGCAAGGGCACCCCAUGAAAGAAAACCAAGACAAACUGGCCGGAACAUGGCAAGUCCGUCUCCUUGACGCUGCCCUCUAAGCCCUGGUGCGCUUUGCCCACCGCGGGCCCGCCGGUCCCCAACAAGCUAGAAUUAGCGGACUCGUCCAGGAGCAGGCGAUUUGCAUACUUCCCAGCUAAUGGGCCCCACGGCCCUCCUCCCUCACCACCAUGGACACCAGCCC
rnacentral:lncRNA from 1 species